rnacentral:rRNA from 1 species
AGAAUCAACGCUGGCGGCGUGCCUAACACAUGCAAGUCGCACGAGAAAGGGACUUCGGUCCUAAGUACAGUGGCGCACGGGUGAGUAACACGUGAAUUAUCUACCUCCGAGUGGGGAAUAACUGAGAGAAAUCUUAGCUAAUACCGCAUAACACUUACGAGUCAAAGCAGCAAUGCGCUUGGAGAGGAGUUCGCGGCAGAUUAGUUAGUUGGCGGGGUAAUGGCCCACCAAGACGAUGAUCUGUAUCCGGCCUGAGAGGGCGCACGGACACACUGGAACUGAAACACGGUCCAGACUCCUACGGGAGGCAGCAGUGGGGAAUUUUGCGCAAUGGGGGAAACCCUGACGCAGCAACGCCGCGUGGAGGAUGAAAUAUCUUGGUAUGUAAACUCCUUUCGAUGGGGAAGAUAAUGACGGUACCCAUAGAAGAAGCCCCGGCUAACUUCGUGCCAGCAGCCGC